GGAGGAGGGCCCUUGUCCCCCAGGGGCUCGCUGAGCACUUCCCAGAAGACUAUCCAGGACACACCCAGAGGGAGUGCAGAAUCGCAGUUACCCAGAAAACAAAAACCAGCGCCGGGACCAGGGGCCACCACACAUCUCCCAGGCCCUGUCGCUGGGCUCGGCCCGGGAGCCCCUUCCAGUCACUUCCAGAAAAUUCCGGAAGGCGCCUGGCGUCGGGCUUGCCCCUGCGGAGCCGACCUGCGGCGGGAUUCCGGGUCGGCGCGUCUCGGGCCGGAGCUGACGGGAGCCGCGGGGCAGGUAGGUGGCCAGCGGGUUCGCGCCUGUGAGGACCGGGCGUGGCCGGCCGGAGCUGGGCCCUGGCGUCGGGAGCCCAGCGGACGAGGCUCGUGUGGGGGAACCGGCCCUGCAGGGACGGCCAAGACGGGCGGGCAGAGCCCGGGGCCUUGUCGUGGGGGAGGAGGCCCUGGAGGACGCGGUCCGGUCCGCCGCGGGCGGGGAGGGUCGCAGUGGCCAGAGGACAGAGGCGUGGCUGGGAAGCGGCCUGGACUGGAGAAAGCAGUGCCCUGGGGGUGGAGGAGGAGCCCCCGGGCCCCGCGAGGACGCCCCAGCCUCGUGGGGGCCCUGAGCCGGGCUGGUCUGCGAGCAGGGCUGGUGGGCAGGUGCCGCACGGUGGGGGCGGUCAGAGCGAGGCGGGCCUCCGAGUGGCCUGGAAGCCCCCGAGGGUGGAGCAGGUGCCCUGGGGAUGAGGCCGGUGGACAGACAGCGAGGCCGCAGUCAGCCGUGCCUGCCGGACGUCGGAACUGGCCUUGCCCAGGGUUGGGCUCUGUGUUGGCCGAAGGAGGGCACGUGGGAUCCCCCCACCCCCAUCCCCGGGGAGACCGGACCGUUCACCCGGAUCCCAUCAGAGCUGCCAGACGCCGAGGUCCGAUGGCGCUGGGACCCGGACCCAGAGCAGCAACAUGGAGUUCUGUGACAGGCUGGCCGCGGGCCCUCAGUUCUGCGGCUGGGAGGCGGCGGUGGGCCUGCCCCGCUCUGCAAGAAGUCCUGUAUGGGAAGGGCUUCGUGGAAGUCCCCGGGAUGUCACAUUGUGUUCCCACGGAAUUCACCAGCGUGGCACAGCCGCUGAAACCCCACCGUGAUGCUGUGCCACUGCUGCCACCACCGUGUGACCUGGACGGUUUCUUACGCUCUUGUGUCUGCGGCUUUUAA
rnacentral:lncRNA from 1 species